AAUGGGGUGUUAGAGAUGGAUGGGACUUGCAUGUCUCUAAUUGGCUUGCGCAGAAGUCAGGCGUUUGUGUACUCUUCUUAAACAUACUGUAUUGUGAUGGAAAUGGAGGCGUUCCUUCUCUUUCCUCCUGAGGUUCUCGAACGCCUCCAUAACAAUUUUUAGAUGAGCGACAUAAUGUAUGUGACAAAUGGAUGAACAGUGUUAAUUUUCUUUGUGAUCUAUGGAAGAGUUACUCCAUAUUUUAGAGAUACUGUAGUGCCAAAGACGAAGACGAGUCAAUCCUACCCUGUAUCAAAUCACAGACAAUGCCUGAGAGAACUCUGAAAACAUCUAUGAAUCCCUCAUUCAGAUUUUAUUCCUGCAAUUUAUCUUUCCAAACUGAUGAAUACGGGCCACUUCAGCUGCAGUAUGACUUUUAAGGACACAAGGAAAAGGAAACCUCUUUAUCCUGAAACAGCUGUGGAAUGGCCAAAAACUUGCAAACUUGACACUUGGAUUAGCAUCUGGAACUCACAUUUGCCUUGGAAUACCUGGCGAGGGGAGUAAGACUGGCAGAAAGCUUCUUCAUACCCUUGGCAGGCAUCAGAAAAGGAUCUGCAGAAUCACAGAUAGACAAGAAUGAACUUCAAUACAUAUCAAGAUGCCAGAAGGGAAGAUCACUUAAGAAUAAUAAAGGAGAAAGGACAUUAAUUGUGACUUGAAAAUUUAUUAUCAAUACUGAUAGUUUGGCAGAUUCUUCCAGUUGCAUCCUAAGGAUUUCCUCCUGCACAAUGUACAUUUUAACAGAUGCCAUCCAGAUGAAAACAAUCAAUCCUACAAUUUUCCAGUAGAUUGUACUAUCCAAUCACUCAAUAUGCAACAAAAGAACAUGACUCCCUACACAAGAAUGAUGGCAUAUAAAGCAUGCCAAGGUACGAAGUCAACAUUUCAACUCUUCUUCCAGGAAAGAAGAGGCUGCCUAUUUAUUGUGAAAGCCCUUUGUCCACAUAUUUGAAAGGAAUGUUGAAUGAACAUCUAUCUUAUCUAAAGAUAAAGCAGUGGAGAAAUUAUAAAUGGAAUUGCGGUUUCAUUAAUCACUAAGGUGCAAUGCAUGAGUUGUACCAGAUGUGAAUGGAAAUGCAGGUAUUCCUCAACUUACAGCCACAGUUGAGCCCAACAUUUCUGUUGUUAAGUAAGACAUUUGUUAAGUGAGUUUUGCCCCAUU